rnacentral:tRNA from 1 species
GGGCCUAUGGCUUAAUGGAUAAAGCGCCGGUCUACGGAACCGGAGAUACCAGGUUCGAUCCCUGGUUGGCUCG